CCGGUCGAGUAGAUAAACUCGAUCCCUCUUUUCUCUCUUCUUUCUCUUUCUCUCUUCUCUGCUCUGCUUUUUGUUCUUCGAUCGAGUGAGGAUUUGGGAAAAUCAAUUAGUGACUGACAGACCGAAUAAAGAGGGGAAGGAUUAUGUCGUAUCUGCUGGUGGUGGUGAUGAUGUUUGUUGUUGAUUCAGACUCGAAGGAGAAAGUGAAUCAGGGAGUAGGGUUUGAAGAUGAAGAUUGAUGUUCUGAAGAUUAUGAAGAUGAAAUUAGAGAUAUGGUUAGAUGAAGAAUCUUGGGUAGUUGUUUAAUUGAAGCCUUGAAGUUGAGUCAGUAACGAAUCAUCGAAGAAUCAAGAGUUAGGGUUUUCCAGUUGAACUGUGGAUGAUUGAUGAGCCUGUGAGGAGCUGUUGUAUUGAUUCAAGGGGAAGAAUAGUUCGAGUGCAAUUGUUUCAUAUGAAUAAUUUGAGGUGGAGUUGGGUUUUUUUUCUGUGUUGAACCCGAGGGAGUUGAAGUGUGUAUAGAUGAUGGUUAGGUUCAACUGUUAUUACAGGUAUGAGAUGAGUAUGUUGAAUUGCAAGUAAUUGUACUGUGAUUGUUGUUUGAAUUGAAUUGUUGUGGAUGUAUGAAUUAUGAAGUGUUGUUGGAGUCUAGUGGUAAUUGUUAGAUUGAUGAAGCUGAUGUUGCUAUUUUGAAGCUGGGAUGAGGAAAUUGUGUUGUUGCAGUGAUGUUUAAAUUGUACAUGGUGGUGUUGGUGUUGACUGUGUUGUUGGAACUGCAGGGGACAUCAAUGAAUGGAUAUGAUUUCAGUGAAGAAUGAAUGAACUGAGAUUGAUAAGGGUACAUAUUUGGAAGUGAACUGGUGGCGUUAUGAGUUAAAGGAAAGAACACUAUUGAUGCUAGAUUUGUAGUGAAUGGAAUUGGAAGACACUGGUAUAGUGUUGCAGGUGAUUGUGUUGAGCUGAAGAUUGUGAUUUAUACUAGUGUUGUGUUGUAGAUAUAGAUGUUGAGGCAGGUGAUGUGUAUUUGAAGUGAUAAUGGUGGAUAAGAUAUUGUGGAUGUGAAGAAUGACUGUGGUUAGAAUGAGUGUAUGUGUUGAUGACCAACUUUGUAAUGGUGGUAUGUGAGAGUGGUGAUUGACUGAAUGUGCAAUGGUGGCGUCGAGUGUGGUUUUGAAUGAAGAGGGUUUGGAUAUUGCAGCUACUGCAUUUGCACGUAGGCUAAGCUUACAGUUGUAGUUAAAUUAUGAAGUUUAACUUAAAUUAUAUGUAUUAUUGUUGUAAUGAACUUUAGAAUCUUGUUAGAAUGAAUAGAAUCAGGUUGCAAGUGAA